UACGGAGGGUGCGAGCGUUGUCCGGAAUCAUUGGGCGUAAAGGGCGCGUAGGUGGCCCGGUCAGUUCGUGGUGAAAGCGCGGGGCUCAACCCUGCGUCGGCCAUGAAUACUGCCGCGGCUGGAGCACUGUAGAGGCAGGCGGAAUUCCGGGUGUAGCGGUGGAAUGCGUAGAGAUCCGGAAGAACACCGGUGGCGAGGGCGGCCUGCUGGGCAGUUGCUGACACUGAGGCGCGACAGCGUGGGGAGCAAACAGG
rnacentral:rRNA from 1 species